UGGUGGAGUGAUUUGUCUGGUUAAUUCCGUUAACGAACGAGACCUCGACCUGCUAACUAGUUUUUAUUUCGUCUACGAAAUCAUAAAGCUUCUUAGAGGGACUAUCGGUGGUAAGCCGGUGGAAGUUCGAGGCAAAAACA
rnacentral:rRNA from 1 species